AUUGAACGCUGGCGGCAGGCCUAACACAUGCAAGUCGAACGAGCCGCGGAAGGGUGAGAAAUGUAUGUGGAUCUUCCCGAUAGAGGGGGAUAACUACUGGAAACGGAGGCUAAUACCGCAUUCUACCGGAUGAACCCAUAUGGGAAUAGCUAGUAGGUGGGGGAAAGGCUCACCUAGGCGACGAUCUCUAGCUGGUCUGAGAGGAUGAUCAGCCACACUGGGACUGAGACACGGCCCAGACUCCUACGGGAGGUAGCAGUGGGGAAUAUUGCACAAUGGGCGAAAGCCUGAUGCAGCCAUGCCGCGUGUAUGAAGAAGGCCUUCGGGUUGUAAAGUACUUUCAGCGGGGAGGCGUUACCCGCAGAAGAAGCACCGGCUAACUCCGUGCCAGCAGCCGCGGUAAUAC
rnacentral:rRNA from 1 species